UUGAACGCUGGCGGCAGGCCUAACACAUGCAAGUCGAACGGUAACAGGAAGCAGCUUGCUGCUUCGCUGACGAGUGGCGGACGGGUGAGUAAUGUCUGGGAAACUGCCUGAUGGAGGGGGAUAACUACUGGAAACGGUAGCUAAUACCGCAUAACGUCGCAAGACCAAAGAGGGGGACCUUCGGGCCUCUUGCCAUCGGAUGUGCCCAGAUGGGAUUAGCUAGUAGGUGGGGUAACGGCUCACCUAGGCGACGAUCCCUAGCUGGUCUGAGAGGAUGACCAGCCACACUGGAACUGAGACACGGUCCAGACUCCUACGGGAGGCAGCAGUGGGGAAUAUUGCACAAUGGGCGCAAGCCUGAUGCAGCCAUGCCGCGUGUAUGAAGAAGGCCUUCGGGUUGUAAAGUACUUUCAGCGGGGAGGAAGGGAGUAAAGUUAAUACCUUUGCUCAUUGACGUUACCCGCAGAAGAAGCACCGGCUAACUCCGUGCCAGCAGCCGCGGUAAUACGGAGGGUGCAAGCGUUAAUCGGAAUUACUGGGCGUAAAGCGCACGCAGGCGGUUUGUUAAGUCAGAUGUGAAAUCCCCGGGCUCAACCUGGGAACUGCAUCUGAUACUGGCAAGCUUGAGUCUCGUAGAGGGGGGUAGAAUUCCAGGUGUAGCGGUGAAAUGCGUAGAGAUCUGGAGGAAUACCGGUGGCGAAGGCGGCCCCCUGGACGAAGACUGACGCUCAGGUGCGAAAGCGUGGGGAGCAAACAGGAUUAGAUACCCUGGUAGUCCACGCCGUAAACGAUGUCGACUUGGAGGUUGUGCCCUUGAGGCGUGGCUUCCGGAGCUAACGCGUUAAGUCGACCGCCUGGGGAGUACGGCCGCAAGGUUAAAACUCAAAUGAAUUGACGGGGGCCCGCACAAGCGGUGGAGCAUGUGGUUUAAUUCGAUGCAACGCGAAGAACCUUACCUGGUCUUGACAUCCACAGAACUUUCCAGAGAUGGAUUGGUGCCUUCGGGAACUGUGAGACAGGUGCUGCAUGGCUGUCGUCAGCUCGUGUUGUGAAAUGUUGGGUUAAGUCCCGCAACGAGCGCAACCCUUAUCCUUUGUUGCCAGCGGUCCGGCCGGGAACUCAAAGGAGACUGCCAGUGAUAAACUGGAGGAAGGUGGGGAUGACGUCAAGUCAUCAUGCCCUUUAUGUCCUGGGCUACACACGUGCUACAAUGGCCGGUACAGAGGGCUGCCAAGGAGCGAUCCGGAGCCAAUCCCAAAAAGCCGGUCUCAGUUCGGAUUGCAGGCUGCAACCCGCCUGCAUGAAGUCGGAAUCGCUAGUAAUCGCGAGUCAGCAUAUCGCGGUGAAUACGUUCCCGGGUCUUGUACACACCGCCCGUCACACCACGAAAGUUGGCAACACCCGAAGUCCGUGAGUUAACCGCAAGGAGACAGCGGCCUAAGGUGGGGUUGAUAAUUGGGGUG
rnacentral:rRNA from 1 species